rnacentral:lncRNA from 1 species
AUGCCAUCACUGCCAAGCUGCGUCCAGCCCUGCCUCCAGCUGCUGCUUCUGGUGCUAUGUCUGCUCAGAUUUCUCCAAAAGAUGAGCAUGGACAAAAUGGGCUGGAAACCUAAUCAUGAGUUGCAGGCACCCAAACAGCACCAAAACAGGAAACAUUUCAGAAGUUCUCAAGCCCACAGGGUCCAGGGAGACUAGCACAGCUUCACUGAAAGACUGGCUGCCAUUGGUUCAAACAGCAAGUGGAAGAGCCUUUCUGCCAAAUGCAAGAAUGCUUGUAAGACCUUAGGCUCACACGAGGCUCUGGGCACAUUCCCAAAUUUCGUACCAUGAGAAGAGGCUGAAACACAGAAUCACAGAACUGCCAUGAUUUUGAAACAAAGCUGUGAUGACCUUUAUUGUCCAAUAAAAAC